rnacentral:rRNA from 1 species
GAUAAACGCUGGCGGCGCACAUAAGACAUGCAAGUCGAACGGAAGUCGUUGUAAUGAAACAGAAAUGGACAGAGAACUUGUUCAAAGAAAGUGGAAGUAGACUUACAACAAUGGCUUUAGUGGCGGACUGGUGAGUAACGCGUAAGGAACCUGCCUUUUAGAGGGGAAUAACAAUGAGAAAUCAUUGCUAAUACCGCAUAUGCCGAGAGAAUCACAUGAUACAAUCGGGAAAGGAGUAAUCCGCUAGAAGAUGGCCUUGCGUCUGAUUAGAUAGUUGGUGGGGUAACGGCCUACCAAGUCGACGAUCAGUAGCCGGACUGAGAGGUUGAACGGCCACAUUGGGACUGAGAUACGGCCCAGACUCCUACGGGAGGCAGCAGUCGGGAAUAUUGCACAAUGGGCGAAAGCCUGAUGCAGCAACGCCGCGUGAAGGAUGAAGGUCUUCGGAUUGUAAACUUCUAUCAGCAGGGAAGAAUAAAUGACGGU